rnacentral:tRNA from 1 species
GCUGGCGUAGCUCAGCAGGUAGAGCAGCUGCCUUGUAAGCAGCAGGUCGCGGGUUCGAAUCCCACCGCCAGCUCCA